UCAAAAUAGGUUUUUACUUUUUAUCGUUCUUAAUUUCUUUGGUGUUAUCUUUAUUUUGUCUCUUCAAGUAAAUCUGCUCUUUGUCAUUCCUGAAAUUUUCCACCACAAUAAAAAAUCACAACACGGAUAAAGAGCAAAUACAAUUCAGGUAACAAUCUUUUUUUUGAAGUUUAUUGCUUUGUUUAAGUUUUUCCUUGGGUUGUAUCAUGCAUGUGUGAUUGUGUUUUUUUUUUCUUUCAUCCUUUCUUUUGUUUUACGCAUUUUUUCUGAUGGGAUUUCAGUAGCCGACUCUUUAUUUUCUUCUCAUUUUGAAUAUUUUGGUCCAUAAAGAUUUAUAAUUUGAUAAAUCGAAUGAAUUUUAAGCUCAUUAAUAUGAUACUCUGCUAUAUGUCUCCGCGUUUACUGAUUUUCUCAUUUCUGCAAUAAUUAAUCAUUUUAUUCUGAUGUGGUUGCUUCUAUUGCUUUGCUCUUCUUAGUAAGUUUUAAUUAAUUUUUUUUGUCCUCUGCUUGGUGUAUUGGCAGAUGUUCAACAUGCAUGCAUCUAUAUAGUUGAUUGUUUCUUUUUUUUCCUUAAAUAUUUAUUUUAGUUCUAAGUUUGUUAUGUUGAGUUUUUAUCUAUUCCCGCCUUUUAAUGCAUCUUACUGUUAAUGGAAUUCUGAUGAUAUUAGUAUUUUUGCUAUUUAGUUUGAGUAGUUUGUUUUCACAUGCAUAUUGAUAACUACAUUAGAUUUGCACUCUGAUGAAUGGAAGGUGUAUUUGACAAUAUGCCUAAAUCAACUUAAAAAAAAUUCACAAUAGAUUUUCUACAACAACAAAAAAAUGUGUAUGAAGUAAGAGAUAAAAUUAAAACAGGAUUGCUAUAGUAUAAGACGUGAUUCAUGUUCAGUCUAAAGCAUUUCUCUCUCAUUGCUUUAAUUUCUAUUCUACCUCUUAAAUCCUUAAAAAAAUACAUGUCCAACAAAUAUUAGAUCCUUUCUUUCUCUAUCAUUUGUGCAUGUUGCCACUAUGGUAUUCAGAAAUAUCAAGAUUGCUAAUUUUUCCUUUGUUCUUAAUUGUCAAACUUGGUUCCCGAUGAUUUGCAGGUUUCCUCAUCUUUUACCUCCAAUUGACACACAACAAUAAUGUAGCUUCAUCUCCUUAUUAUGGUAUGUUCAUCUUCUCAUAAAUGUCUUUAUUUUGAAAUUGCAAGUAAUUUUACCAUUUUUGAACAAGCCAUUUUCGAUUUGCUUUACUUCACCUAUGUUUUUUUUUUCUUGAAUUGCUUUAAUCUUUUGGUUAUCUCGAUUCUCCGAGUUGGUUAAACGUGAUAUACAUUAAUAACAAAAUUGGUUCUCUCAAUUCUCACUUUGGUGAUCCACAUAUGUGUGCUAUGAACAUCGUAUCACAUAACUUAACUGUACAACAAGAAAUAGUUAUUGUAUUGCAUUUAUGAACUUAUAUAUUUGAUUGGUAACUGAACUUUGGAACUAUUUAAUUGGUAGUUAAAUUACCUCCCCUUCUCUCAUGAAGUGUUGUACUUCUCCUUAAGCAAAUACGUGUACGCAUAUUAGAUAGAUAGGCACACUUUCUCCAUCAUCCUUUUUCACCAAGGAAAUCAUUUCUUAUGCACCUAUUGUGUUUGAUAGUAUGCCGAAGAGAUUGAACAACUCUUAUUUCUUUGUUCUCUCCACAGAGUUUCCACAACAUUUUCCUCUGUCAGACAACUAUCCAAAAGGUAAAUUUUACUUAAUUUCUACUAGACAAUAUUAUUAUAUAGAUCAGUAUGUGUGUUAUUUGUGAUUGGGUUCAAAUUUUUUUGGAACCUGUAUCCUUUGUUUGCCUCUGGUUUGAUUGCAUUUUGAUACUGCAUAAUGACUUUGUUUUUACCAAGAAAUAUUAGUUAUAAAUAAUGUAUGUUGUUUAGAAUUAAACCAAAAUGUGACUUUACUUUAACAAAAUUGAGAACUACUUGCAAUAGUAAUGUUUGACAAACAAGGACGAUGUGUUGCAUGACCCCAAAAUACUGACAUGAGUGUAAUUGGAGAUGUUGUGGGUGAGCACUUUACUUAUGUCUACACUUAGUGUUCUUAAGAUUACCUGAGAAGUAGCGCUGACACAUGGAGUAAUGGUAAUUAUGCUUUCAAUGACCUGAAAUCGUGUCAUUUCUUUCUUCACUUCCUUUCAUUGAUCUUCUAAUGGAACUUGCAAAAGUUGGUUAAAUGUUUCUUUAUAGUCUGUUUUGAGACUUGAUUUUGUUAAGUAGAAUGCAACUUGAGGAUGGUCCACUUGUUCAGUUUGUGCUCAAUGUUAUCACUACCCUUCUGAAAAAGAGUAUUCAUCUGCUUUAUUGGUUGUCUGAGAUAUCUUUAAAUUUUGUUCCUUUUUUUUUCUUCCUUUUAAGUUAUAACUGCAUCGUAAUUCCUAUGAGCUUAUUACUGCAUCCUAAUUCCUAGGAGUUGUCACAACUUUUGGAUAAUCUUCUUGCUAAUCUGUUGUUGUUGGAUAUGCAGGUCAAUGCGGCUAUGAUCUGAACAAGGUUAGUGAUAUCAACUCAACAACUUUGUAUACAUAUGUGUUUUUUGAGGCAUCAAAUGCUAGCAUUAUAUAUGGCUCAAUUUUAUGUUUACAUUCAGCAUAUGCAUGUUUGCACUUAACUCUGUAUGUAGUUACUCAGUAAUUGGCACCACAUUGUUAUAUGCUAAGCAUACAUGUGAAAGUUGCUCUUCUAAGUACAUGCAGAUACCAUCUAGCCUGCCUAUUCUCCCACCCCUUUUAUUAUUACCUAUGAAAUCUUGAAAGUAAGUCCUGUGUUUUGUUUGAUUUGUGUCCAAACUGCGGCUAUACGCUUUUCUAGGUCCUCUUCAAAGUUAAUCUCGUUGCUGGUUUGGAUUUUGUGGCUUAAGUUUAAGCUGUUUUGAUGUAUGUAGUAUGAAGUCAGCAUUUAACUAGAAAAUAAAUUAUGCUCCAUUCUACUUAUCUGAAUAUCUAUUAAGUCUCUAUCACGGUUAAAGUAAUUACCUUAUGUACCUAAACUUAGCUUGUGGAUUUAGGAACCGAUGAAUGAAUUUCUUGCUAACUGUGGUUUACUUUCAUGGCGAGAAACCACAAUGCAUGUGUGGAAUCAUACAUAGUUGCAGGAAGGACGAGGCCAGGUUGUUGGUAGACUUGCAGAAGCUUAGUUCUCAUGCUAACUUGCUAAGUAGAAAAGACAAUGCUCGGCUAUUGCUGUUUGAUCUUCUUAUUCUGAAUAUAUCACCCCUGGCAACUAAUUUUUUAGUUCCUGCUUGGGUGCUUCUAUCUUUUCAUUUCAGAAAUUUUGCAUGCAUACUAGACAUAGAUCGGCUUACUUCUCUACAUAGAUUUACAUAUCGCUCUAACCUUGCAUUUUCACUAUAUGACACCCCCUUUCCUCUGAAUAUGCAGAGUAUGGAUAAGCUGCUAGAUAUGUCUGCAUCAACUUUGAGAAAGAGUGAUGAUAUUAUAAAUAUAGGUGUCAAGAAAGUAAGUUUUCGUGUAUGUCACUUGGUGUUGCUCAUGCUGCUAACUAGGAUGGAUGAGGAUGAGCUAGGCUUUCAACAACAUAGGGCACAUUCGUGAAGUGCAGCUUGACAGCAAUAAGGAAUAAGUCUCCCCCAUCACCGCACCAUUAAGGCCAAAAUAUCGCUAAAGAAAACAUUUGAUUCCAUUGGAUAACAAACUAAUAGCUGAAUUACCAAACCAAGGCAACUGUUGAAUCAUUCAAAUAAUGCACCACCUACUCACUACUCUUCAGCAAAACCCUAAGCUCCAUAUUAUAAAACUCUAAUGCCUCCUCUUCAAUCAUUAUCAGGCAGAGAGAAGAGCAACAAUGUCGAAGCGAGGUACAAUUCGAUUUCAAUCGUAUUUUCAUUGUCUGAUCUCAACUCAAUAUAUUUACUUCAAAACUUGAGAAUUUAGAGAACUUUCAUGUCAUGUAACUCAUUAUUACCUAAGAAACCAAGUUAUUUAAGUCAUAUAAUUCAUAAUAUACCUUGAAUUAAACAUAUUCAAAUGUUUCAUGUAGUUGGGAUGUAGAUUAGUUGAUUGCUUGCUUGAUUUGUUUACCAUAGUAUACUGAAACAAGAUAAGUAGUUUGGUCUCAUGUAUUUUUCAAUUAAAUGUAACUUAAGUAUGAGAUUUAGAGAAAUUUUUAAGUCAUAUAACUGUUAACAUACCUUAGAAUGACAAAUUAUAUAUAGUUACUAGAAUGAAAUGAGUAGUCUAAUAUAGUGGAACCGGUACAAAUUUUUCAUGUAGUCAAUCAUGAGUCCCGGGGAGUUUAGGAAUGUAUUGUAAUGAAAUGAGCUUAAUAGAGUGGAAGAUGUAAAAAUGUUUCAUUUAGUUGGCCUCGAUUAGUUUGAGACUGAAACUUGAUUUAUUGAAUAAUUAGGUUUUAAAAUGUAAUUAAGUACAUAAAGGUUCCACUGGGAACAAGUUCAGGAUGUUGUUGGGUUUGCCAGUGGUAGCUGUUUAUUGUAAUUAGAAUGAAAAGAGAAGCCUAUGUAUUAUACUGAAAUGUGCCUAGUAAAGUGGAAAAUGUGAACAUCUAUCCUUCUAUUAAGACAAGUUAUUGCUAUCAAUUUGAUUUUUGAGGUGUUCCUCUUUCUCCCGACUACUUGCAUGUGAAGCGAACAAUUAUUGUACCAUGAAACAUUUGCACAUUAUCAUUUAACAAAUUACUUCUGGUGGGUUAACAUAAUUCCUUUGAUGCAGGAUACAAAGACAUUUUAUAGUAGCGGUGAUCAGUCUUUAAGAAGUAAGGAAAGUAGUCAUACCGAUUUUGGAAGUUUUUGAUCGCAUCAAUGUUCUAGAUUCACAGGUCAAAUCAAUGUGUCAUUUUUCUUUUGAGUUGUUUCAAAUAUUUUUUUAGCUUUACAACAUGAAUCAAUUCUCGAGUAUGAAACAAUUCUAGAAAAAAUACUAAUCCAUUUCAAUACAUCUCCUCUUUAAUGAAAUAGAUUUUAGAGGCAACAUAUAUGUGAAGUGACUGCU
rnacentral:lncRNA from 1 species